rnacentral:rRNA from 1 species
CAGCACCUCAAGUGGUCAGGAUGAUUAUUGGGCCUAAAGCAUCCGUAGCCGGCGCUGUAAGUUUUCGGUUAAAUCUGUACGCUCAACGUACAGGCUGCCGGGAAUACUGCAGCGCUAGGGAGUGGGAGAGGUAGACGGUACUCGGUAGGAAGGGGUAAAAUCCUUUGAUCUAUUGAUGACCACCUGUGGCGAAGGCGGUCUACCAGAACACGUCCGACGGUGAGGGAUGAAAUCUGGGGGAGCAAACCGGAUUAGAGACCCGAGUAGUCC